AUAUGCGAAGCUUCACAGAAAUUAAAGUCUUAUUAAGUUUAGUAUGACCACUCUAACCAUCCAACGAUAGACACUGUCAUACCAAUUAAGUAAGCGCGUAGGGCAAUAGUGAAUGAAUAAAGACAUACGAAACUUCAUAGAAAUUAAAACUCUCUUUAAGUUUCGAAGAGAUAGUAUGGUCAUAGUUAAAAAAAAGAAGAAGAUAUGAAGCUUCACAGAAACGCUAUAAGCUUAAGCCUGUAUAAGUUAGCUUGUUUGAUUAGAAUGGAGACCCAACACUCCUCCAUCUACAAUCAUACAAACCUUUAUUCUAAGUUCUGAUGGCUGUGCGAUCAUUCUCCUACGAUGUGUUCCUCAGCUUCCGAGGGGAAGAUACUCGUUAUGGUUUCACUGGCUAUCUCUACAAUGUCCUCCGGGAAAGGGAAAUUGACACCUUCAUUGAUGACCAGGAGCUCAAUAAAGGGGACGAAAUCACAAAAGCACUUGAGGAGGCAAUUGAGAAGUCCAAGAUUUUCAUCAUCGUGCUCUCUGAAAACUACGCAUAUUCCUCCUUUUGCUUAAACGAACUCACUCACAUCCUUAACUUUACUGAGGGGAAGAAUGAUCUGUCGGUUUUGCCAGUUUUUUACAAAGUGGAUCCUUCAGAUGUCCGAAAACACACAGGUAGUUUUGGAGAAGCACUGGCUAAUCAUGAAAAGAAGUUGAAGUCUAAUAACAUGGAGAAGCUUCAGAUCUGGAAGAUGGCUCUGCACCAAGUUUCUAACUUUGUUGGCCAUCAUUUCAAAGAUGAUGGGUACGUACCCCUCCUCACUUACUUUAUUUUAAAUUCUUUAAUUUUGACUUGUCUAAUCACACUUGAGAAAUUUACAUAUUCUAAGGUCGUGACAUUACAUGACUUGAUAGAAGAUAUGGGUAAAGAAAUUGUCAGAAGAGAAUCACCGAAAGAGCCUGGGGAGCGUAGCAGGUUAUGGUCCCAUGAGGAUAUAAAUCAAGUUUUACAAGAAAACAAGGGGACUAGAAAGAUUGAAAUCAUAUGUAUGAAUUUUUCCUCAUCUGGAGAAGAAGUAGAAUGGGAUGGAGAUGCCUUCAAGGAGAUGAAAAAUCUGAAAACACUUAUUAUCAAGAGUGAUUGUUUUUCCAAAGGUCCCAAACAUCUUCCAAAUACUUUAAGAGUAUUGGAAUGGUGGAGAUGUCCUUCACAGGAAUGGCCACGUAAUUUUAACCCAAAGCAACUUGCUAUAUGCAAGUUACCCGAGAGUAGCUUUACGUCACUCGGGUUGGCCCCAUUAUUUGAAAAGAGGCUCGUGAAUUUGACAAGGUUAACUUUGGACGAGUGUGAUAGUUUAACAGAGAUACCAGAUGUAUCUUGUCUCUCAAAUUUGGAAAAUUUGUCAUUUGGAGAGUGUCGGAAUUUAUUUACAAUUCACCAUUCAGUUGGUUUAUUGGAAAAGCUUAAAAUCUUGGAUGCUCAAGAUUGCCCAAAGCUUAAGAGUUUUCCACCGUUGAAGUUGACCUCUCUUGAAAGGCUUGAACUUUGGUAUUGUUGGAGUCUCGAGAGUUUUUCUGAAAUAUUAGGAAAGAUGGAAAAUAUAACAGAACUUUUCUUGACUGAUUGUCCCAUAACAAAACUCCCACCUUCAUUUCGAAAUCUUACUCGGCUUCGAUCCUUAUGUCUUGGACCCCAUCACCGAACUGAGCAGUUAAUUGACUUUGAUGCUGCCACCCUCAUUCCGAACAUCUGCAUGAUGCCAGAACUAAGUCAAAUUGAGUUUGGCGGUUUGCAAUUGAGGCUAUUGCCUGACGAUGUUUUGAAAUUGACCUCAGUUGUGUGUCCAAGCAUUCGAUUUGUUUGUUUCUAUUACUGCGACCUGUCAGAUGAGCUUCUUCGGCUAUUUCUCUCAUGUUUUGUAAAUGUGAUAAAUUUAAAGCUAACAAGUUGUAAAUUCACAGUUAUUCCCGAAUGCAUCAAAGAAUGCCGCUUUUUAACUUUCCUUACUUUGGAUUAUUGCGAUCGUCUACAAGAAAUUAGAGGGAUUCCUCCAAACUUGAUAAGAUUCCGUGCAAGGACAUGCCCAGCCUUGACUUCCUCAAGCAUAAGCAUGUUGCUGAAUCAGGAACUGCUUGAGGCUCGAGACAUUCACUUAAUAAGUUUGCCAAUAGUAAAGAUUCCAGAGUGGUUUGAGUGCCAGAGUCGGGGACCGUCAAUUUUUUUCUGGUUCCCUAACAAAUUCCCAGUAAUAACUGUUUGCAUUGUUACCUCAGGUCCUAAGAAAUAUUCCAAUUAUCUGGUUCUCAACGUGAUUAUUAAUAAGAAACAUAAACAUCGACAUCAACGUUUUUAUAGUAACGGUUCCAACGCAAUACCUUCUACAACUGUUUUUCGUCUUCAAAUGAAAGAUAAUUUAGAUGAAGAACUAUCAAAGAGUGAAUGGAACCUUGCAGAGAUUGUAUGCGAAGAUUCGUGGGCCGCAUACGGAAUCCAUGUACUGAAAGAGAAAAGUAGCAUGGAGGAUAUUCGAUUCAGUGAUCCUUGCAGAAAAAGAAAAAUUUGUAGUUCAGAGGUUGGGGUUGGGGAAAAAGCAAAGAUUAGUAGGCAGUGAAGUUGUUGAGACACAAUUUGUAGAGCAGCAACAACAUAUGGGUUUUUUCUCACACGUGUGGAACUGGGCACUAUCACUUGUAAUUUCUUGCUGCUCCGGCAAUCAAUAAUUGGAUGAAAGAGAAUUCAAGUUAAGCAUAUGGUAACAACGCUGAUAAAAGACAACAGUGUAAGUAGCCCUACUGAUUCUUGUAGUCUAGUCAAGUUUGGUUUUAGAUAUUGUAUUUUGCUUUGGAUUCAAUGAAAAUAGAUCCAGCAUUUCAAUCUCUUAA